GUGCCAGCAGCCGCGGUAAUACGUAGGGCGCAAGCGUUGUCCGGAUUUAUUGGGCGUAAAGAGCUCGUAGGCGGCUUGUCGCGUCUGCCGUGUAAGCCUUCGGCUUAACUGGGGGUUUGCGGUGGAUACGGGUAGGCUGGAGGCAGGUAGGGGAGAAUGGAAUUCCCGGUGUAGCGGUGAAAUGCGCAGAUAUCGGGAGGAACACCGGUGGCGAAGGCGGUUCUCUGGGCCUUGCCUGACGCUGAGGAGCGAAAGCGUGGGGAGCGAACAGGAUUAGAAACCCUUGUAGUCC
rnacentral:rRNA from 1 species